GAUCAUGGCUCAGGAUGAACGCUAGCUACAGGCUUAACACAUGCAAGUCGAGGGGCAGCAUUUCAGUUUGCUUGCAAACUGGAGAUGGCGACCGGCGCACGGGUGAGUAACACGUAUCCAACCCGCCGAUAACUCGGGGAUAGCCUUUCGAAAGAAAGAUUAAUACCCGAUGGUAUAAUUAGACCGCAUGGUCUUGUUAUUAAAGAAUUUCGGUUAUCGAUGGGGAUGCGUUCCAUUAGGCAGUUGG
rnacentral:rRNA from 1 species